AGUCAAUAGAUACCCGGGUAGUCCACGCCCUAAACGAUGUCGACUGGUUGUUGGGGGUUUGACACUCUCAGUAAACGAAAGCUAAACGCGUGAAGUCGACCGCCUGGGGAGUACGGCCGCAAGGUUAAAACUCAAAGGAAUUGACGGGGACCCGCACAAGCGGUGGAUUAUGUGGAUUAAUUCGAUGCAACGCGAAAAACCUUACCUACCCUUGACAUGUCCGAGAGCCCGCUGAGAGGCGGGUGUGCCCGAAAGGGAAUCGGAACACAGGUGCUGCAUGGCUGUCGUCAGCUCGUGUCGUGAGAUGUUGGGUUAAGUCCCGCAACGAGCGCAACCCUUGCCAUUAGUUGCCACCCGUAAGGGGGCACUCUAAUGGGACUGCCGGUGACAAACCGGAGGAAGGUGGGGAUGACGUCAAGUCCUCAUGGCCCUUAUGGGUAGGGCUUCACACGUAAUACAAUGGCGCGUACAGAGGGUUGCCAAGGAGCGAUCUGGAGCCAAUCCCGUAAAGCGCGUCGUAGUCCGGAUUGCAGUCUGCAACUCGACUGC
rnacentral:rRNA from 1 species